rnacentral:rRNA from 1 species
UGGGGAAUAUUGGACAAUGGGCGAAAGCCUGAUCCAGCCAUGCCGCGUGUGUGAAGAAGGUCUUCGGAUUGUAAAGCACUUUAAGUUGGGAGGAAGGGCAUUAACCUAAUACGUUAGUGUUUUGACGUUACCGACAGAAUAAGCACCGGCUAACUCUGUGCCAGCAGCCGCGGUAAUACAGAGGGAGCAAGCGGUAAUCGGAAUUACUGGGCGUAAAGCGCGCGUAGGUGGUUUGUUAAGUUGGAUGUGAAAUCCCCGGGCUCAACCUGGGAACUGCAUUCAAAACUGACUGACUAGAGUAUGGUAGAGGGUGGUGGAAUUUCCUGUGUAGCGGUGAAAUGCGUAGAUAUAGGAAGGAACACCAGUGGCGAAGGCGACCACCUGGACUAAUACUGACACUGAGGUGCGAAAGCGUGGGGAGCAAACA